ensembl:piRNA 21ur-862 ncRNA
UACUGUGUGUCCGUUAGGAAA